AGGACGAACGCUGGCGGCGUGCUUAACACAUGCAAGUCGAGCGGAAAGGCCCUUCGGGGUACUCGAGCGGCGAACGGGUGAGUAACACGUGAGUAAUCUGCCCCUAGCUCUGGGAUAGCUCCGGGAAACCGGGAUUAAUACCGGAUACGACCACCUUAGACAUCUUUUGUGGUGGAAAGAAUUUCGGCUAGGGAUGAGCUCGCGGCCUAUCAGCUUGUUGGUGGGGUAACGGCCUACCAAGGCGACGACGGGUAGCCGGCCUGAGAGGGCGACCGGCCACACUGGGACUGAGACACGGCCCAGACUCCUACGGGAGGCAGCAGUGGGGAAUAUUGCGCAAUGGGCGAAAGCCUGACGCAGCGACGCCGCGUGGGGGAUGAAGGCCUUCGGGUUGUAAACCCCUUUCAGCAGGGACGAAGCGAAGUGACGGUACCUGCAGAAGAAGCGCCGGCUAACUACGCGCCAGCAGCCGC
rnacentral:rRNA from 1 species